AUGAACGCUGGCGGCGCGCCUAACACAUGCAAGUCGAACGGCACCCACCUUCGGGUGGAAGCGAGUGGCGAACGGCUGAGUAACACGUGGAGAACCUGCCCCCUCCCCCGGGAUAGCCGCCCGAAAGGACGGGUAAUACCGGAUACCCCGGGGUGCCGCAUGGCACCCCGGCUAAAGCCCCGACGGGAGGGGAUGGCUCCGCGGCCCAUCAGGUAGACGGCGGGGUGACGGCCCACCGUGCCGACAACGGGUAGCCGGGUUGAGAGACCGACCGGCCAGAUUGGGACUGAGACACGGCCCAGACUCCUACGGGAGGCAGCAGUGGGGAAUCUUGCGCAAUGGGGGGAACCCUGACGCAGCGACGCCGCGUGCGGGACGGAGGCCUUCGGGUCGUAAACCGCUUUCAGCAGGGAAGAGUCAAGACUGUACCUGCAGAAGAAGCCCCGGCUAACUACGUGCCAGCAGCCGCGGUAAUACGUAGGGGGCGAGCGUUAUCCGGAUUCAUUGGGCGUAAAGCGCGCGUAGGCGGCCCGGCAGGCCGGGGGUCGAAGCGGGGGGCUCAACCCCCCGAAGCCCCCGGAACCUCCGCGGCUUGGGUCCGGUAGGGGAGGGUGGAACACCCGGUGUAGCGGUGGAAUGCGCAGAUAUCGGGUGGAACACCGGUGGCGAAGGCGGCCCUCUGGGCCGAGACCGACGCUGAGGCGCGAAAGCUGGGGGAGCGAACAGGAUUAGAUACCCUGGUAGUCCCAGCCGUAAACGAUGGACGCUAGGUGUGGGGGGACGAUCCCCCCGUGCCGCAGCCAACGCAUUAAGCGUCCCGCCUGGGGAGUACGGCCGCAAGGCUAAAACUCAAAGGAAUUGACGGGGGCCCGCACAAGCGGAGGAACAUGUGGUUUAAUUCGAUGAUACGCGAGGAACCUUACCCGGGCUUAAAUUGCAGACGAAUUACGAGGAAACUUGUAAGCCGCAAGGCGUCUGUGAAGGUGCUGCAUGGUUGUCGUCAGCUCGUGUCGUGAGAUGUUGGGUUAAGUCCCGCAACGAGCGCAACCCCCGCCGCGUGUUGCCAUCGGGUGAUGCCGGGAACCCACGCGGGACCGCCGCCGUCAAGGCGGAGGAGGGCGGGGACGACGUCAAGUCAUCAUGCCCCUUAUGCCCUGGGCUGCACACGUGCUACAAUGGCCGGUACAGAGGGAUGCCACCCCGCGAGGGGGAGCGGAUCCCGGAAAGCCGGCCCCAGUUCGGAUUGGGGGCUGCAACCCGCCCCCAUGAAGUCGGAGUUGCUAGUAAUCGCGGAUCAGCAUGCCGCGGUGAAUGCGUUCCCGGGCCUUGUACACACCGCCCGUCACACCACCCGAGUCGUCUGCACCCGAAGUCGCCGGCCCAACCGUCAAGGGGGGAGGCGCCGAAGGUGUGGAGGGUGAGGGGGGUG
rnacentral:rRNA from 1 species